AGUAACCGGUUUCCGAGGAGAACAUAUAUCCUGAAUCAGUUCCUGGACAUUUGUUUGAGGUCUUGUAAGGGAAACUGAAGGGAAUUGUGUAUUGAACAGGAUGGCUUAGACCUGCUCAACUUCUGAGAAUUGAGAUUGUGAGACUCCCAGUUCUAGCCAGAUAUCACCACUUCAAAGACAUAACAAAAAGGCAAAGUGGGCAAUCCAGAUGUAUCACUUGACUUUCUGACUACUGGAAGAAUUUCCCUUCAUUAUUGCACACCAGGGGUAUCCCACAGGCCAUCCUCGAUAAUGGCUUGGUUUCAUCAUUAAAAUUGUUCUCUUUGAGUCAAGAUAAUAUAGUUCCCAAGAGCUAUGUCAUACCAUCAGAAAAAAGAUAAACUUGGGCCAAACAUGAUGAGUUUCUCCUCAUGAAGCUUUCUCCUCACCAACUCUUCAAAGAUCCAGUUGAUACAAAAUGCACAUGCUAAAAUAUGAUUCCCCAGUCCUGUCCAAGCUGAUGUGGUCUUCUCCAAGCCCCCAGUCCUGACCAAGCUGAAUCUCCUUUGUCACUCAUGGGGCAACAGGGACUUACCUGCCAGUGCAGGAGAAAGGAGAGAUCCUUUAGAACAGGAGCUAAGAUGCCAGGAGCUCACGCAAAAUGCUUGAAGAAAGGGGCUUAGCCAGAAACCGAACUGGGAGUUGAUGCCCAGUUUAGGAAGAGUUCAAAUCGAGGAGUCAGAAGCAGCAAAUUCUACAUCAGAUCCACAAAUUCUUAACUAGAAGAAUAAAAACAAGUCAAAUCAAGUUGGGCUCAAAAGGAAUAUAGGGGCAGAAGAGGUGAUGUGCAGAUGGGUGUGCCUGGCCAAAUGGUGGGGGUAGGCACAGGCAGCACACACCAUUGAUUUCUUUGCUUCCUUUUUUAAAGAUUUUAUUUUUAAGAGCAGUUUCAGGUUCAAAGCAAAGUUAGAAGUACCAAGAUUUUUUCCAUAUACCCCUGUCCCUACAUAUGCAUAGCCCCCUCAUUAUCAAAAUCCCCUAUCAGAGUGUAAUAAAUGACAAUGAACCUACGUUGGACGCAUCAUAAUCACGUAAAGUCCUGGUGUACAUUAGCUUUCACUCUUGGUGUUGUACAUUCUAUGAAUUCGGACAAAUGUGUAAUGGCAUGUGUCCACUGUUAUGGUAUCAUACAGAGCACUUUCACUGCCACAAAAAUUUUCUGCUCUCUGCCUAUAGUUGGGGAUCAGAAACCAAUACCCCAAAAUAUGGCAUUUUGACAUGCUGAACUGAAGAAGCUUUAAUGUCUCUCUGACCUUCCUUCUUCUGCCCCACCUUCUUUCCCAAAACCUAGGAUUAUCUUGUUCCCUUAUCUGCUUAAAGUCCGAACCUGCCAAAGAAGAAAACAAUGACCUCUGCACCCUUCCCUGAGUUUCCAUUAACUGAACCUAGAUUCCAGGAAGAAAGAUUGAAGUCUGUCAACACACCUGGACAGACUUUUAUCACAAACCAUUGUCCACUCUGCUAACCCAACAGAUUUUGUCCCAGACAACUGUAUUCUCUUCAAGCCCAUUGAAUUCUCCCUAGGAAUCAUGCAUUGCCCCUCAACAGAAUUCCUCUUGUCCCUACUCACAUAGUUUGCUUUGCCGGGAUCCUAAGAUUUCUUGGAAAACCUUAGGACCAGGAGGUAUUCUUGUGGACUCAUUCUGUUUUUCUGUAACCUCAAGAUGGUGUAUAAGCUUCUGCCCCCUAAUCGGGGGUUGGAGUAAUCACUGUGUCUCCUGUGUGAAAGUAAACACAUUUGUAUGCCCUUUUCCCAAUUAAUCUACCUUCUGUGAGUUGAUUUUUUAGCGAAACUUCAGAGGGCUCUUUGACUCCUACACUAUUUAUCCCUCCCCCUCCCUUCAGCCCCUAACAACCACUGAUCUUCUUACUGCCUCCACAGUUUUACCUUUUCCAGAAGGUCAUAUAGUUGAAAUAUUACAGUCCGUUACCUUUUCAGAUUAGCUUCUGUCACUUAGUAAUAUAUAUUUAAGAUUCCUCCAUGUCUUUUCAUGGCUUGAUAGUUCAUUUCUUUUCAGUAUUAAAUGAUAUUCCAUUGUUUGAUGUACCACAAUUUAUCCCUUACCUACUGAAGGAAUACCUGGUUGUUUCCAAGAUUUACCUGGCCACCUAUGGAAUACUGUAGUUUCCAAAACUGGCCAUAAGAUAUUUCCUACUAUUCUUGCAUAUUGCAGUUGCAUAAGAAUUGCGUCCUAAGAUUUUCCAGAAAUUUGGCACUUCUCCAUCAAGACAUGGAUUCUACUUCCUCUUCCCUUAAGUCUAGGCAGAUUUGUGACUGGUAACCACAGAGCAUGGUAGAAAUUACACGGAGUGAUUUCUGAGGUUAUAAAUGAUGAAGCUCAUCUACCUCACAGGAACAUAGGCAUUGAGUCCUGAGCCACCAAGCAAGUGUCCAACUACUCUGAAACUGCCAUGUGUUAAGUGAAAAGAUAGCAAGGGGAAGCACUGAAGCUGCAUCGUGAGCGAGAGAUGCCCAGCCACCAGGCAGCUGCUCCACCCACCUCACCCUCAGCCUACUUUCCUCCACCCUCAACCUUGUACUUUUGUUGCUCCAACCACUGUCUGGUUACAAUCAGAGGAGAGAUUCCAAGACAGUAGCACCCAGCUAAACCCUUCCUGAAUUCGCAACUCACAAAAGUUAUAAAAGACAAUAAAAUGACUGUUCUUU
rnacentral:lncRNA from 1 species